UAAGAUCCCAGAAAAAGAAGUUCAGUAUUUGGCUGAGGUAGGGCGGGCUAGGGUUUUGAGCUUCAUCACCAUUCGUGAAGGACUCCAUCGAGGAAGAAGAUGAUGCGGGACGAGGCGAGGAGAUCGGAGAAGAAGGCGAACGACAUGCGUACAUUCCAUUUUUCUGGCGGUGAGGAAUGAAUGCAACUGUGUGUGACCUAAUUUCGAUCGUUAUCGGGAUUUAAUUAAGCUUCGGCGUAGAGGAAAAUAUGUUUUUGAGAUCUCAACCACCAGCGAACAGAGGUUAGCUUUUCAUGCAGCGGAACUUGAAAUGACGAAGAGGAUUCCUCAUAUGCAGAGGAAGAGGGACGAUGAGGAUGAGUUUGACGUUAAUGGCAGUGAUGAUGAAGCAAUGGAAACGAUUGCAAAGCAAUUUGGAAUAACAAGAAAUCAAAAGAGGAAGAUAAAAUGCAAAAUGAACUGAUCAAGGGAGAACCUUCGAUCCUAAGUUAACAUGCGCAUUGACAUCGAUCAUGUUUUUCCCUCGUUGCUUAGAUAGGCCAUAUAUAUUCUCGAUGCCCAACAUGUUCAUCCUGCAUCUGGUGCAUCUCUUGAUGAGGAAAAGAGUGCACAAUCGGUAAAAUCGACAGUGAGCACUAGCGAAAGCUAUCCAAAGCAGUUCCUGACUGAACAGGCGCAGGCUGAGAAGAAAGAGUCUGAAGAGAAGUAUGAACAAACAAACAGCCCAUUAAACAAAGUAAGACCCCUAAUUGUUAUGUUAUCUUUGCAUGUUACCAAGUCAGUCAUAUUAAUCUCUCCUUUUCUUUGCUUAGAAACUGAGAUCUGGGCGUCAUAAAAUGGAGGAUGAUUAUUGAUGGAUAUAAAUAAUGUUCCUAAAGCUGCUUCAGUAUGUGGUUUGGUGCCAAUAAUGAUAUAUUAUAUGCUAAUUUUGAUGACAUCUUUAUUAAUGAUGAGAGAUUAGACCGACU